UUAUCCAUGCCCUCCCGGCCAGUUAACCGCCCCAACAUUGCAACAAACAUUACACGGACAUUAUUUCACGUCUGCAUGGACAGACACAAAGACACGUGUGCAUGCUUCAGGAGCUGGAGGAGGGAGCUCGCAGGCUUGGUGCGGCUAUUCGCGAGUACAUGGAGCUGCAACAGGAUGAGCAACAGAAGGAGCAGGAACAGCAACAGCGACAGCAGUUUAGAAGCGGUGUGUAGAGCGGCAUGUGUGUAAACAGCAGGCAGCAGGUGCAGGUGUAGUCGUGGUACGCAUACCAAUAGAUGCAGAUACAAAAGGCGAGCUCCAUGGCGAGGACAAGGAGCGAUAAAACGGAUUGGUUACUGGUGGUGGUGAUGAGCUCGUUGCUGGUGGCUGCUGGAGGUGGCCUCUGUGUGAGGAGCUAUCAAGUCGCUUCGGUGGUGCGCACAGCAAAUUGCAAUUGUAGGUUGUGCACUUGUGCUACGCGAGGAAACGUGCGCGUGUGAGUUUAUUAUGUUAAUUCGUUAGGCGUUGAAGGUUAUACGUUUUGGGCCUGACAACUCGUAUGUCCUUUGUGUCGUAGCCAAUCAGGCAAAAAAAAUCAUGGUG
rnacentral:lncRNA from 1 species